rnacentral:rRNA from 1 species
UACGAAGGGGGCUAGCGUUGCUCGGAAUCACUGGGCGUAAAGGGUGCGUAGGCGGGUCUUUAAGUCGGGGGUGAAAUCCUGGAGCUCAACUCCAGAACUGCCUUCGAUACUGAAGAGCUCGAGUCCGGGAGAGGUGAGUGGAACUCCUAGUGUAGAGGUGGAAUUCGUAGAUAUUAGGAAGAACACCAGUGGCGAAGGCGGCUCACUGGCCCGGUACUGACGCUGAGGAGCGAAAGCGUGGGGAGCAAACAGG